AAAAUUGAAAGACAUUUUUUUUUGUUUCGGUUCAUAAAUUAUAAAUAACAUAACAUAAUGAUGAAAUUGUUUUAUCAAUAAUCGAAAGAGAUAAAUAGAAUGACAAAAAAAAAAUGGUCGAAAGAGAAACAAAAACCCACGCAUAAACUAAUAAAUUAUUAAUUUAAGAAAUAAAAAAAUAAAAAUUAUUGAUGGAUAUCUUCAUAACUACAUCAAAAAAAAAUAAAAAUUCGGUCAAACUAAAAUCACUCAACGUCAGUUACAUUAAUAAACUAAAUUACUUAAAGAACCCUAUUAUAACAAAUGACCACAAAAUAAACGGAUGAAUAUAAACGGCGAGAUUCUCUCAAUCUAAGGGCUUGGAUUAAUU
rnacentral:lncRNA from 1 species